ACCGGCAAAUCCGUAUUACAGUCACAUCCGUUUCAGUGCUGUAACACGGAUCCAGCCCGGGCCCGGUUUCAGUGGGCGGGAACUACUGUCGCAGAGCAGAUCCGGGCCGCGUCCGAAACGAGCGCGUGUUCAGAACAGAAGACGUCAAAGAUAUUUGCUUAGAUCAAAGCAAUAAAUUGUAUUUUGAAGUAAAUUAAAAUAGAAAACCAUUAUUUUAAAUUGUAAUACUUCUAAAUAUUACAUUUUUUUUCUGUAUUUUUGAUCAAAUAAAUGCUGGCUUGAUUAGCAUUUUGCGGAAAGAGUAAAACAAAUGUGUUGUAAUAUACUGUUUCAAUAUCUUAGAGAAACCAAUUUAAGUGGAAGGAUAUAGUUUUUUUUAAACAAUGCUUACACACAACAUUCUGGUCCACACUCACACCAGAUGGUGGCGGUAAUGCACCAAAAAGUUGUUUGCCAACCGCCAAUAAACCUUAAUAGAAGAAGAAGACAUCAAGAAGAUCGAAGCAGACGGACUGCACGCUGUUAAAACUUCACCGAGAUCGGUGUUGGACCGGCGAACACUUUAGGCCUAUUAUCAGAGGACUUGCUAACAUGAAGAAAACGGUCCAGAGGUUCCACCUGAGAGCCGGGACUGUCGAAUAGUAAGAGACAACGAAAAGGGGGGAACUGUCUUUAAGCUGUGGAGUCAGAUGGAGGGCUCGCAUUUACCUCAAAACGGCAUUGCAGAAGACUCGAACAACUAGAACCAACUCAAGCACACAACGGUGACACACAUUUGUAAGACCUUUCCCUGUGAUAUAAAAUUUCCCUGUGGUAAUUAUUCAGAUUCUUCUCAUUCUCAUUGUGUAGCACUGUUUUAAGCUUAGUGAAUAUUAUGUACAGUAAGCACUAGAAGUAGAGACUUGUACUACUUGGGGUAGUUUUAAAUUAACUUUAAUUUUGCUUUUGAUGCAAAAAUUAUCAAAAGAAAAGAUGUAGUGUAGUAAAAGAUGUUUUGUGUAGUAAUUCAAUUGUUUUAAUAUGAAUAUUGUUUUAGUAGUGUUCAGGACAGUAAUUGUCUGUACAUCUAAAUCAGUUCUUUAA